UUAGGAAGAUGGGCAUCGAACCCACAUCUAAGAAAUCAAAAUCCUUCGUAAUUCCAUUUUACUACCCCCU
rnacentral:tRNA from 1 species